rnacentral:rRNA from 1 species
GAGUUUGAUCCUGGCUCAGAUUGAACGCUGGCGGUAUGCUUUACACAUGCAAGUCGAACGGCAGCACGGGGGCAACCCUGGUGGCGAGUGGCGAACGGGCGAGUAACAUAUCGGAACAUAUCCGGAAGUGGGGGAUAGCUCGGCGAAAGCCGGAUUAAUACCGCAUAUGCCCUGAGGGGGAAAGGGGGGGAUCGCAAGACCUCUCACUUUCGGAGUGGCCGAUAUCARAUUAGCUAGUUGGKGGGGUAAAGGCCCACCAAGGCRACGAUCUGUAGCUGGUCUGARAGGACGACCAGCCACACUGGAACUGAGACACGGUCCAGACUCCUACGGGAGGCAGCAGUGGGGAAUUUUGGACAAUGGGCGCAAGCCUGAUCCAGCCAUACCGCGUGAGUGAAGAAGGCCUUCGGGUUGUAAAGCUCUUUCAGCCGGAAAGAAAACGUGCGGGUUAAUAACCCGUAUGGAUGACGGUACCGGAAGAAGAAGCACCGGCUAACUACGUGCCAGCAGCCGCGGWAAUAC